GCAAAGUGCAAUGUGUCAAUCCCCUCCUCCUCGUGCUUCUGAAAUUGUAGUCCUGAGUUAGCAAGGAGAUCUAUGGAAUCCUGGGAGUACAUGUCCUCUCUAAAAAAGAAGGUAGAUGCAACCAUAAGAAUGCGGAUCAAAACAAAACUGUCAUUCUCAAACGUCAUCAUUUCUCCGAGAAAGUUCUGGGAAACCUGUUGGUCUGUCAGCAACCCUGAAAGAUUCCAUUUAUUCAAGGUAUCCUACACUUCAACAGAUGUUUCUCUGAAAUUGUAACAGACUUACUGUAAUUACUCUAAAACUUAAGUAGACUGUGGUAUAUUCCUAACAAAUAUGGGUGGACACUUGUUAAAGGCAGAAUCCAUUUCUUCUCAUUUCCGUUCUGUACACAAUGGUAUGAAUUAAAGACUUGCAGAUGAACAUAUAAAGAACAUC